rnacentral:rRNA from 1 species
GAUGAACGCUAGCGGCAGGCUUAACACAUGCAAGUCGAGGGGCAGCGCGGGAUAGCAAUAUCCUGGCGGCGACCGGCGGAAGGGUGCGUAACGCGUGAGCGACAUGCCCGUUGCCCGGGGACAACCGGUGGAAACGCCGACUAAUCCCCGAUGGGAUACGAUGCUUCAUGGCAUUGUAUUGAAAGUUACGGCGGCGACGGAUUGGCUCGCGUCCGAUUAGCUGGUUGGCGGGGUAACGGCCCACCAAGGCUGCGAUCGGUAGGGGUUCUGAGAGGAAGGCCCCCAACAAGGGGACUGAGACACGGCCCAUACUCCUACGGGAGGCAGCAGUGAGGAAUAUUGGUCAAUGGGCGGAAGCCUGAACCAGCCAUGCCGCGUGCGGGAAGGAGGCCCUAUGGGCUGUGAACCGCUUUUGCCUGGGGGCAAUAAGGGCGUCGCGCACGUCCGAUGAGAGUACCAGGCGAAUAAGCAUCGGCUAACUCCGUG